UAGCUAGAUGGUGAGGUAAAGGCUCACCAUGGCGACGAUCUCUAGCUGUUCUGAGAGGAAGAUCAGCCACACUGGGACUGAGACACGGCCCAGACUCCUACGGGAGGCAGCAGUGGGGAAUAUUGCACAAUGGGGGAAACCCUGAUGCAGCCAUGCCGCGUGUGUGAAGAAGGCCUUCGGGUUGUAAAGCACUUUCAGUUGUGAGGAAAAGUUGGUAGUUAAUACCUGCCAGCCGUGACGUUAGCAACAGAAGAAGCACCGGCUAACUCCGUGCCAGCAGCCGCGGUAAUACGGAGGGUGCGAGCGUUAAUCGGAAUUACUGGGCGUAAAGCGCACGCAGGCGGUUUGUUAAGCUAGAUGUGAAAGCCCCGGGCUCAACCUGGGACGGUCAUUUAGAACUGGCAGACUAGAGUCUUGGAGAGGGGAGUGGAAUUCCAGGUGUAGCGGUGAAAUGCGUAGAUAUCUGGAGGAACAUCAGUGGCGAAGGCGACUCCCUGGCCAAAGACUGACGCUCAUGUGCGAAAGUGUGGGUAGCGAACAGGAUUAGAUACCCUGGUAGUCCACACCGUAAACGCUGUCUACUAGCUGUGUGUGAAUUUAAUUCGUGCGUAGCGAAGCUAACGCGCUAAGUAGACCGCCUGGGGAGUACGGCCGCAAGGUUAAAACUCAAAUGAAUUGACGGGGGCCCGCACAAGCGGUGGAGCAUGUGGUUUAAUUCGAUGCAACGCGAAGAACCUUACCUACACUUGACAUGCAGAGAACUUUCCAGAGAUGGAUUGGUGCCUUCGGGAACUCUGACACAGGUGCU
rnacentral:rRNA from 1 species